rnacentral:rRNA from 1 species
AACGAACGCUGGCGGCAGGCUUAACACAUGCAAGUCGAGCGCCCCGCAAGGGGAGCGGCAGACGGGUGAGUAACGCGUGGGAAUCUACCCAUCUCUAUGGAAUAACGCAUGGAAACGUGUGCUAAUACCGUAUACGUCCUUCGGGAGAAAGAUUUAUCGGAGAUGGAUGAGCCCGCGUUGGAUUAGAUAGUUGGUGGGGUAAAGGCCUACCAAGGGGACGAUCCAGAGCUGGUCUGAUAGGAUGAUCAGCCACACUGGGACUGAGACACGGCCCAGACUCCUACGGGAGGCAGCAGUGGGGAAUAUUGGACAAGGGGCGCAAGCCUGAUCCAGCCAUGUCGCGUGAGUGAUGAAGGCCCUAGGGUUGUAAAGCUCUUUCACCGGUGAAGAUAAUGACGGUAACCGGAGAAGAAGCCCCGGCUAACUUCGUGCCAGCCGCCGCCGUAACAC